rnacentral:misc_RNA from 1 species
CCCUAGCAGCCAGUUGAAGUUUCUCCCAUGUCUUUCCAAGAUUGAUGAUAUAAAUUCCAUCAUUGCGUCGCUUGAAAACAUAACGUUCCAUCUGGAAGUCACAGUUCUUAGUGCCGAGGUGAACUUCAGCAGCCAACAUCAUCUGUAUAUCCAACUCCUUUUGGGACAAAGCCCGUGUUGGUGCCGCUGCUGUGCCCGUCGCCAUGGCUGCGCUAUAAGCGAGAGAAGGAGCGAGAAAAUGCAACAACAUAGGAGCUGGAGUUGGUUGUUUGGUUAGCAAGAAGGUGCGGGGAGCAAUAUUGUGG